ensembl:lncRNA
CGACAGACAGAGGCAGACAGACAGACAGACAGACAGACAGACAGACAGACAGAUGAGAUGCAGGUGUUUUCAUCUCUUCUCUUUCUUCUGACUUGCCUCAACAUGGUUACGGCGGUAACAGGUUGCCAUAGUGACAGGGAUAAGGAUGACCGUCCACGCCAGAACUGCACAGCUGGAGGAUUCAACAACAUCCCCUCAGGACUCGAACCCACAACCGAGGUGCUGCUGCUUCCUAUCAACCAGCUGUCGUCUCUAUCUUGGUCCGAUUACAGGAUGUUCCCCAAAAUCUACGAGAUCGACCUAACAUCUAACCAGAUCCAUGCUCUCUCUGAGGUAUUUCUGAGGGGGUCUGAAGACUCUGAGGGUUCUACGUCUGGGUUCAAACGGUUUGGAAGUUCUGGCAGACGGAUGUUUCUCCCCCUUCCCCUUCCUGGCGGAACUCUACCUCCCCCACAACUCCCUUGUCUCCCUCCCAGACGACGUCUUUAAGGAUCUCAACAAGCUGGAGAUCCUGGAUCUGUCGUCCAAUAGGAUCAUAGUUCUUCCUCCAAAAAUCAUCUACCCCCUCGAGGUCAUAGAGACGCUUUACCUAGAAAACAACAAGAUCCAGGCGAUUCCAGAUGACUGGUUCAGCGUACAGGACAUGGGAAUCCCCUAUCUGUUCCUCUCGGCCAAUCCGUGGCGCUGCUCCUGUUCCCUUGGCUACCUGCACGAUUACCUUCUAGAAUUCGAAUCCUCGGUGUAUGUGAGAAAUGGGACAGUCGUCAACUCAAGGCCAAAGAGUGUGGUGUGUCACUCUCCUGGGAGGCUGGAGGGGAGACCUGUGAUUGACCUGAAGGCUGAGGACCUCUGCCCCCCUAUCAUUACUACUGCUCCUACUUCUCUUACUGCCCCCCCUACUACUGCUGCUCCUACUACUACCACUGCUCCUACUACUGCUGCUCCUACUACUACUACUACUGAUCCUACUACUACUGCUGCUCCUACUACUACUACCACUGCUCCUACUACUGCUGCUCCUACUACUACUACUACUGAUCCUACUACUACUACUACUGAUCCUACUACUACUGCUGCUGCUACUACUACCACUACUGAUCUUACUACUACUAAUGCUCCUACUACUACCACUGCUCCUACUACAACUGCUGCUAUUACUACUGCUUCUACUACUCCUCCUGCUCCUACUAUGCUCCUCCAAUGGGUGAGCAGCACAGAGUAUCCAGUGGCUGCCAUCGGUAGUUCCAGUGGUAUCGCCACGUCGACGCCCACCCCGAUGCCCAACACCUCCGUGGCGACGGCCGCCGUGGCAACGGCCGCCGUACCGACCGAGGUCGGAGGGUUCCAGCCGGGGGCCAGACGCGGCGGCGGCGGCGGCGGCGUGCGUGCGUACUGCGCCUGGCUGUUUGCAGGGUGUGUGUUGCUGUGCGCGCUGUCGCUGGCGUGCACGGCGCUGUCCACGGCGUGGCUGGUCCUGUGGUACCGCCGGGCGCACGGAGCCCCCCUCAGAGACGCACCGAGGGAGAAGAGGGGAGGAGGGGGACGAAGGCUGGAGUCGCUGAGGAUGAUGAGCUGCCGGAAGGGAAGGAGGGAGGAGAGCGUGUCCAGAGAGGAGUCUUUCCAUCUGUUCAGCAGGCAGGAAGAGAUAGCGUGUCGGCUGGCCGGGGCGGGCGGGGGGGCGCUCGGGGCUCGCUACAGCGUUGUGCUGAGGGAGGAGAGGGAGGGAGGGGAGGGUGCGGCGAGGGACUGGGUGGUGGGGGGCUGGGCGGUGACUCCGGGCACAGGAGCCGUCAGGAGCAGCUGGGGGGAGUGGCUUACUCAUUAUCUACCCAACAUGCCUUGGGGCGCGGCCGUGCCCUCGGAGGGCGCUCCGGCGGAGUGAUGUCGGCAGCUCUUCCGUGACCUUCCGUACGUGUCAUAAGCCCUACGAUGUGUCCGUGGUUUAAGUGUAUUAAAAAUGCAUUCUACUGUUCAACUGUAUGCUAUAUCCGACUUCAUUGAGCUUUAAGUGUUGCGGUCUAAUUGAUGAGACAGGAAGGGAGAGUGUCAAUCACCGGUGAGGGACAGGCGAGGGUACAAGGGGGUUGGAUGUGUGCCUUCCUGGUUCCUGUUAAAUCCCAAGAUGUUUGACAAACGAGACGACCACCCACCCAACUAUCAACUGGACCCCGUCAGACCAUCUUAAUCAUACCGGACGAUCUGAUCGGUCCAAAAAAAAAAAAAAAAAAAAAAUUUGAAUUUGUCAAUUUUUUUAUACUUUUUUUUUUAGCUGGCCAUGUGGUGACAAACCUGUAGGCCUACCUAGUGUUAACCACCAUACCUGACCAGUGCACUAUCAAGACGCCUGGGAUCCUUUUCCCGAAGGUUAUACUGGACAUUACAAAUGACAUUAUAAAGAAAUAGGUUUCCCUUAAAGUUAACCUUUUGUGGGUAAACCCUUCUUAUUGGCCGUAUGUUCGGGACUCAAACCUGUGGCUACAGAGCGU